UCAGUCAAUUGAAGGCGAGCGCACGCGACAGCGUAUCAUUGUUUUUCUUGAUAAAUGAGAAGUAUCAGAGCAGUUCAUAGUUUGGUCUUUCGAACAUUCGUGCCACUUAAUUUAAAUAUAAUUACUUUUUGCAUAGCUCAUAGCCGAAAAUUGUGAACGAAAAUACAGUUUAAUAGGCUAAUUUUAUGGUCGCAAAUCCCGAAAUGCAAAUCUAAUAUACUUAAUUUGGUCUAUUAAAUUCGCCACAGCAAACGACGUACUAGACGAAAUGUGAUUGAUUCGAAGACAGCCAAGCGGAGAAAGGAGACUGAGGCGAAGACAGAGAUGACGCAAAAUCAGCAUUACAAACAGCGUUGACGUCACAAAGAACGGCUCAGUGUGUACGUGUGACGGCUUCUUGUGUGCGUUUCACUCGAACUCGACUACAUAAAGGAACGUCGAAUUUUGACACACACAAAGAAAAUUUAAGCCGAAAUUGCGAACGAAUGUUGAUUGACAGAACCGAUUUAUUUGCUUCGCUGUAAGAAUUUAUUUAAUUUUAUUAAUGAAUAUUUCGAUAAAUAAUUUCGUGAAGUUUUUGGAGUUAAACUGGUAAACAAACGCAGUCAAAACACUUAACAUGUUAUAAAGAAACCAUACUUGGCAGAGUAUGAAUCAUGAACGAUGUUCACACUCUGAAUAUAAACAACAGCACUUGCAGUGGCAACAAUAAAAUCAUUGGGCGAUGAAGCGAAUAAAUUGCCGGAAGAAUUUCGGAAAUGUUUUGACGUCAAACUGAAAGUGGUGCAGGAGCUGCUUGUGGAUUCCAUUUUCCGACUGAACAGUAAACAAACACGGCAAUUCAAGGGGCGAAUUCCGACGGCGAUGGAGAGACAGGGAGAAUUUUGUUCAAUGGAAAAUGGUUGAUGACAGCGGUAUAUCCGAUGGAAUGUUGAUUAAAUUGUCUUUGAAGUGUAAUUGUACUAUUUUCCCAAUAGGUUUCCGUAGAAAUGGCUACAGGUGUUAUUGUCCAUUGACCACCUUGCGAGGCCAUACUAGCGAAUUGCACAGAAAUUCUCUCUAUCCAGGGGAAACAAGUAAACUCAACAAGAUUCCAUGUAAUUGUUUUCAUAUUGUUUUUUUUCUCUCUAGGUGGUGUAUCACCUACAGCAAGUUCAACACUUACGUCUUUCAAAUGGGUGCAGUCAAAAAGAGUCAUAAAAUAGUUGAUCGCAAUGAAUUUGUAAACUGGAUUUGGGAACACAUUUUUGAUGAUGGAAAAAAUGGCAAAAAUAUAUUUGACAAUAAGAAGAAUAUUUGACCUGAGAAGUAACUCGCUUUCAUAUAGAUGAACACCAACAGUUAUCAAAUGAAUUAUAUUUUCGUUCAAUUUCGUACAUUUUAUUUUCUGUAAAUUUCAAUAAAAGCUCGUUUACCUUGC